UGACCUCGGAUCAGGUAGGGAUACCCGCUGAACUUAAGCAUAUCAAUAAGCGGAGGAAAAGAAACCAACAGGGAUUGCCUCAGUAACGGCGAGUGAAGCGGCAACAGCUCAAAUUUGAAAUCUGGCCGUUCGGCGGUCCGAGUUGUAAUUUGCAGAGGAUGCUUCGGGUGCGGCGUCGGUCUAAGUUCCUUGGAACAGGACGUCAUAGAGGGUGAGAAUCCCGUAUGUGACCGGCGACCCAGCCCGUGUGAAGCUCCUUCGACGAGUCGAGUUGUUUGGGAAUGCAGCUCUAAAUGGGUGGUAAAUUUCAUCUAAAGCUAAAUACCGGCCAGAGACCGAUAGCGCACAAGUAGAGUGAUCGAAAGAUGAAAAGCACUUUGGAAAGAGAGUUAAAAAGUACGUGAAAUUGUWGAAAGGGAAGCGCUUGCGWCCAGACUKGCUCACGGGUGAUCAGCCGUCCUUCUGGGCGGUGCACUCGCCCGCGAUCAGGCCAGCAUCGGUUCAGGCGGCCGGAUAAAGGCCCCGGGAAUGUGGCUCCCCCCGGGGAGUGUUAUA
rnacentral:rRNA from 1 species